UUUCUACAAGACACAAUUAAAUGGACAUGUCCUUACAACAAGACAUCAUUUAAUUAGACAAGUCUUUAGUGAAAGGUACCUUUUCUAUAAGGCACAAUUAAUAGGACAUGUCUUUACCAUAAGACACAUUUAUUUUGAAAAUUUUCCAACAAUCCCCCAUAAGGCACAAUUAAUAGGACAUGUCUUUAGUGAAAGGUACCUUUUCUAUAAGGCACAAUUAAUAGGACAUGUCUUUACCAUAAGACACAAUUAUUUUGAAAAUUUCCAACAAUAUGUCUAUAAUUUAUUGAACUAUUUAUAGAACUCCAUGACCCAGGAGUUACAGACAAAGCAUAGGAAUC
rnacentral:lncRNA from 1 species